GACGAACGCUGGCGGCGUGCCUAACACAUGCAAGUAGAACGCUGAAGGCGGAGUUUGCUUCGCUGGAUGAGUUGCGAACGGGUGAGUAACGCGUAGGUAACCUGCCUGUUAGCGGGGGAUAACUAUUGGAAACGAUAGCUAAUACCGCAUAAUAGUAGAUGCUGCAUGACAUUUGCUUGAAAGGUGCGAUUGCAUCACUACGAGAUGGACCUGCGUUGCAUUAGGUAGUAGGUGGGGUAACGGCUCACCAAGGCGGCUAUACAUAGCGGACCUGAGAGGGGGAUAGGCCGAGCUGGGACGGGAAGACGGCCCAGAAUCCUAGGGGAGGCAGCAGGAGGGAAUCUUCAGCAAUGGACGGAGGUGGGACCGAGCAGCGCCGCGUGAGUGAAGAAGGUUUUCGGGUCGUAAAGAUCUGUUGUGAGAUAAGAACGGGUGUGUGAGUGGAAAGUUCAGAUAGUGACGGUAUCUGACCAAGAAGCGACGGCUAACUACGUG
rnacentral:rRNA from 1 species